GAUGAACGCUAGCGGCAGGCUUAACACAUGCAAGUCGAGGGGCAGCACAGUGUAGCAAUACAUGGGUGGCGACCGGCGCACGGGUGCGUAACAGGUGUGCAAUCUGUCCAUAAUCGGGGAAUAGCCCAGCGAAAGUUGGAUUAAUGCUCCAUGUGAGCAGAGGAGGCAUCUCCUUUGUUUGAAACGUAAGGAUUAUGGGGUGAGCACGCUUCUGAUUAGGUAGUUGGUGAGGUAACGGCUCACCAAGCCGACGAUCAGUAGGGGUUCUGAGAGGAAGGUCCCCCANACUGGAACUGAGACACGGUCCAGACUCCUACGGGAGGCAGCAGUGAGGAAUAUUGGUCAAUGGUCUGACGACUGAACCAGCCAUGCCGCGUGAAGGUGACGGCCCUAUGGGUCUUAAACUUCUUUUGCAAGGGAGCAAUAAGGCGUACGUGUACGUCGAUGAGAGUACCUUGCGAAUAAGCAUCGG
rnacentral:rRNA from 1 species